UACGGAAGGUCCGGGCGUUAUCCGGAUUUAUUGGGUUUAAAGGGAGCGUAGGCCGGCUUUUAAGUCAGCUGUGAAAGUCCGCGGCUCAACCGUGGAAUUGCAGUUGAAACUGGAGGCCUUGAGUACAGGAGGGGCAGGCGGAAUUCCUGGUGUAGCGGUGAAAUGCGUAGAUAUCAGGAGGAACACCGGCGGCGAAGGCGGCCUGCUGGACUGAAACUGACGUUGAGGCUCGAAAGCGUGGGGAGCAAACAGG
rnacentral:rRNA from 1 species